GCACCUGUAGCUCAAUCGGAUAGAGCAUUUGGUUCCGGACCAAAAGGUUCAGGGUUCGAGUCCCUGCGGGUGUACCA
rnacentral:tRNA from 1 species